CCUACGGGAGGCAGCAGUGGGGAAUUUUGGACAAUGGGGGCAACCCUGAUCCAGCAAUGCCGCGUGUGUGAAGAAGGCCUUCGGGUUGUAAAGCACUUUUGUCAGGAACGAAAAAGUCCGGGCUAAUAUCCUGGGCUCAUGACGGUACCUGAAGAAUAAGCACCGGCUAACUACGUGCCAGCAGCCGCGGUAAUACGUAGGGUGCGAGCGUUAAUCGGAAUUACUGGGCGUAAAGCGUGCGCAGGCGGUUUUGUAAGACAGGCGUGAAAUCCCCGGGCUCAACCUGGGAAUUGCGCUUGUGACUGCAAGGCUAGAGUGUGUCAGAGGGGGGUAGAAUUCCACGUGUAGCAGUGAAAUGCGUAGAGAUGUGGAGGAAUACCGAUGGCGAAGGCAGCCCCCUGGGAUAACACUGACGCUCAUGCACGAAAGCGUGGGGAGCAAACAGGAUUAGAUACCCUUGUAGUC
rnacentral:rRNA from 1 species